rnacentral:rRNA from 1 species
UACGUAGGGUGCAAGCGUUAAUCGGAAUUACUGGGCGUAAAGCGUGCGCAGGCGGUGAUGUAAGACAGGUGUGAAAUCCCCGGGCCUAACCUGGGAACUGCAUUUGUGACUGCAUGGCUAGAGUUUGUCAGAGGGGGGUGGAAUUCCACGUGUAGCAGUGAAAUGCGUAGAUAUGUGGAGGAACACCGAUGGCGAAGGCAGCCCCCUGGGAUGUGACUGACGCUCAUGUACGAAAGCGUGGGGAGCAAACAGG